AGCGGGCUUGUUUGAAAGAAGGAAAGCGUUUCGGUAGUUAUUGACAACGGUGUGAUUCAGCCAGAAUGUUUGUUGUGGUUUUGUCGAAAAAGCUACAAAGGGUAUAUUUAAGUUAGUGGAUGAUUAGACUCUGCCGUUGAAGCAUGCAGUUGUGUUGUCCAGGGCACUGACUUUACGCGGAAGGCUGUCAACAGCGGACAAGAAACGGAAAAUAUACCCAAAAUGUCCUCCAAAGACGACACUCGCAUCCUGGUUUUGGAGGAGCAGGUGAUGAGUUUAUCAGAUGAGUUAAUGCAAUGCCAGGCAGACAAGGAGUUUGUGUGGUCCCUAUGGAAACGCCUACAAGUGGCAAAUCCAGACUUGACCCAGGCUGUCAGUUUGGUGGUUGAGCGUGAAAAGCAUAAAGCCGAGAUAAAGGACAGGAAGGUGUUGGAGAUCCUCCAGUCCAAAGACUACAAGAUACAGGAGCUGGAACAGAAAGUGACAGGGCAGCAGCAGGAGAUUAACAACUUGGCACAGAGGAGGAAGACCGUGGACGAGGAGAGUACCUUAAUGAAGAAGGAGCUGACAGCUCUGCGUGAGCAACUGGUCAAUAGGAAUCAGGGACUUAAGGAAAUGAAGACGGAGUGUAGGAGGAAAGAGGAGGAGGAGCAGCAGGUGGUGAGGGCUCUAGAGGAGGAGAAAGAAGGAUUAACUUCCCGCUGCGCCGCCCUGCGAGCUGACCUGGAGGAGAAAGAGAGGCAGGCCAACAGCCAACGAGACCAGAGGGACGCCGCCCAGGCCAGAGUCAAGGAGUUGGAGGCGGAGCUACACAAUACCUGGCAAGAGUUGUGCCGCUUGCAGAGCCACAGUGUCAGUCUAGAGGCCCAGCUUUCUUCCAAAGAAGGGGAGGUGGCAGCGAAAGAGACGCAGCUCAGUCAACUUCGUCGUGACUGUGCAGAAGUGCAGACCCUGUACAGACAGAGUACAGAACAUGCAGCAGAGCAGAGCCAUCUGAUCAAGCAACUGGAAGGACUCAACUUAGACACACAGAAAGUCCUGAGGAACCAAGAAGAGGCACAUACUGCUGACACCACCUCCUAUCAGAGGCUGUACAAGGAGUUGAGUCAGUGCUACCAGGCCCUCGUGUCUAGUGAGGCCAACCUCCGUCAGAGUCACCAGGAGCUCAGCAGCCAGCUGGCUCAGAAAGACCAAGAUAUCCUGCAACUCCAGGCCCAAAUACAACAGCAGCAGCAGGAACAAAUGCAGCAGGAACAGGCCCAACACACAGCCCUUCACUCCUCACCAAACAGACAAACCAACUUUAAGGCAGUGGUGUCCGAGCAGGUUGAUGCUGCAGUUCAGAGGUUUAGCCCUGAUUCUGACCGAGCCUCCACCCGAGGCUCAGAUCCCAGGCCAGAGAAUAAGACCCUUCAACGCAGAUCCACCAGUUCCGUCAGGAGGCAGCAGGGUGCACCUUUGUUGCGGUCUAGGUCUCUGUCCCCAGCCGGCAGUGUGGAGUUGGGUAGUGGAGGGAGAAAAGGAGCAGAACAGAGGAUUGAAGACCUUGAGGAGCUGCUGCAAUUGAAGAUGAAGGAGAAUGAUGAGCUGAGGAGAGCUCAUGAUAAACGCCGUGAACGCCUGUGUCUGAUUCAGACCAACUACAGGACAGUCAGAGAACAGCUGAAAGAGAUGGAGAAAUCAAAUGGCUUGCCAGGUGGAAGGAUGCAGCGUGCAGAACCAUGGCAGCUGAGACAAGAGGACAGUGAUGCAGUGUGGAACGAGCUGGCCUACUUGAAAAACCUCACUAGGAAACUCUCCCUUGAAAAAGCCGGCCUGGAAGAGGAGCUGGACAUGCUGCGAGUCCAGGCUGCUAUGGACCGGGCCACAGUGAAAGAGCUCCACCUGUGUCUUGCUAAUGAACACCAAGAAUUGCUUCACAAAGUGGUAGAGGAGCGCCAGGUCAAAAGCAGCACUCCGAAAAAGCUUUCUGUUUCUUCAGAGCGAAUGGAGCAGUCAUUUAAAAAGAUUGAACAGCUGGAGCAGAGGAUGAUGUCCCUGGAGGAGGAGACAGAGAGGCUGAGGGAAGAGAAAGAGCAGCUACUUGAGUCCAAGGAAGACUUGGCCCACAACUGCCGCAGACUCAAAGCCUCCCUGGAUCAUCUGCAAACCAAGGAAGCUGCCCAUGAACAGGCAGCCCAGGCCGAGGCCCUGGCCCAGGGGGAACGGCAUCGCAGCAAGAUCAUGGCUCUAGAAGCCCGGCUGGCUGCCUCUCAAAAAGAGGCUACCAAGCUUCAUCAUCAGUUGCUGAAGCUGAGACAGGAGCUAGGGAUCCUCAGAGCAGCCAGGGACUUCUAUAGGAACCGUGCAGUAGGUCCUGCGUGGGCAGGUGGGAUCGCUAGCAACAUUAACAGCAAGGUCAAAUUCAAAACAACAAGGCUCAGAGGUCCGCUACGCCAGCGUAGCCACCGAACAGUCAGCCCCAAUCAAGCCAUCAGGUGGCAAGGCUGCAGCCCCAAUCCCACUAAGGACGAGUGGGAGGACAUGAGCAUAGAUAGUAACAGUGGUGAAGAAUACUUGGACAGUCUCAACAGUGUGCCCUCAGUGAUAAAGGCUGACAGACAACACACAAACAAAAAGCCCUACAGGUGUUCACUUAUCUCAAACGCAGAGGCAGCUGCAGCACAGUCUCACCGAAAACAACCUGAUGUUCUGGCCCAAGACGAUGAACAGCAUGAGCCCUGGGAGCGAGGGACGAGAGGAGAGAAGAGGAGGAGGAGGUGGUGGAGGAGGAAGAGGAUGCUAAUGAAGACCCAGCGCUGCUCCUCCUCUUCCCUGCAGCAGCGCGUUGAGUCCCUACAGCGUCACAUUGACAUACUGCGAAGUGCCAGGAAAGAUGCUGUGCUUUCAGCCAGAGAGCUGCACAGGACCAACGAGAAGAUCACGGCACAGCUCAACUCCCUCACUGAGAAACUCUGCAGCAGCAAGCAGCUCACACAGAAGCUGACCUCUGACCUGGCUGGUACUGAGCAGCAGAAAAAGGUUCUGGAGAUGGAGCUGGAGCAGUGGAGGCGGAUCACGUUCCCCCAGCAGACUGCACCAACACCACCAGAACCAACAGCACCAGUAAAUGCAGAGUGCUCCUGCCAGGGCAAGACCAUGCCCGCCCCAGCUAAUCCUGCCCCCCAGGCCCUGGGGGCUGAAGUCAAACAACUUCAAGCCAAACUUAAGAGUGCAAGUGCUGAGGUCACAAGGCAGGUGGCAGCCAACAAAGCCCUGCGAGGCCAAAUCCAGGAGAAGGAGGACAAGCUCCGCCAGCUGCAGGACAAGACGAGCCACGCUGAGCGAGAUGUGAACAUGAAAAGGAAGCUAGUGGAGGACUUGAAGACGAGACUGAAGUUCCUGCAGGAGAUGGAGAAAAGUUACCGUGGACAGGUGGAGGAGCUGGAGAAGAAGGUGAAGACUUUAUCAGAGGAGGCCGCCAACAGGAAGGCCCUCAUUGAAUCUUUAAAGAGGAGACUGAAUGUUGCAACCACAGAGAAAAGCCAAUAUGAGGCCUCAUGUGCAAAACUAAAGGAGGAUCUGGAAAAAAGGGAGCAGCGCAUGCAUGCCUUGCAGGCUCGUGUGGGGGCCAGUGAGCAGGCUUUGGCUGCACUGGAACAGACAGCCACUGAGCAAAUGGAGGGGUUGACCCAGCAGAGCGCCCAUGCUUUGGAGAGGCUUCAGAGACAGCUAGGCCAGGCUUACUCCCAGCUGGAGCAGCUUCAUUCUUUCAUCAAGGCCCUGGCCAGUGAAAUACUUUUAGACGUUCAAGAGGUCAAGCAGCAGCUGAUGAAGAGGAGGAGGUUAAGGCAGGCCAACGCUGUGGCAGCAAAGGGCGGCCUCUCAGCCAAGUCUAUGAUCAAAGCCAAGUCCAUUGCUGCCUCCAUCCUCAAUAUGUCAGAGAAUGAUCUUGCGGACAUUAUGGACACUGACCAGGGGACACAGGCCCGAUCAGAGAGUCCAGGAGACCAGGAGUGGCUGGACCACCUCAGCCACAUCCUCCAGCAGAAGAUCCCCUCUGCCGGCCAGCUAAUGGAGGCUCUGCGCGUGAAGAUGAAGGAGAGGAAAGUGCUGACAGAAGAGCUGGCCACGCUCACAACACCAGUCAGCGAAAAAGCCUGACUCCCUGGGCUGAGGCUGGGAAAACUGUCAUCCUCUUCUUUUUCCUCCCCCCACUUCUUCUCUCCCUCCCCGGUUCCUACUCAGUGGGAGCUGGGCUGAGCCAAGCUGAGCCGGGGCAGCAGAACCAAUAUUUGUGAGAAAAGCGCUGUCGACUCACUCUGAGCCACUGGCUCAACACAGCAGCCCGGAUUUUGUAAAUGAGCCCUCGACAUCUGUGUUAGCGCUCAGUGCACUAUGUCUAUCAGACAGGGCCCUUUUGCGCCAAGCUAAUUUACAGUGCAGCCACUCUCCCCCACUCUCAGACCUGGGGUGAUAAGGCAAAUGCUUACGCUAAUGUUUAAGUUAGACUUUUUUUUUACUGUCUUUUGCCUCUCCCCCUAAUUUAUUUGGCACCUCAAGGGCCUCAGGGUGCAGGGACUUGACCUAGCAGUGCCAAGUCGACACUUUGAGAAAGUCAGGAGUGCAGCACAGAGCAGAAUAUUCACUUUAAGAGCUGUUCAAAGGACUGUCAGUCAGUGUGUGAUGGUCACUGAGGGUGCUCUGGUGGACAGCAGGGUUCUCACACCUCUCUCAUGAUUGACAGCUGACUGUCGGCAUGGUUCCCAUCUGUAACAAGUGACCCCUGCUGUUGACAUCAUUAACAAGGGUCCACAUGGGCACGCACACAGCACAAAGGUGUAUUAGAGGAGUGGUUCCAUCCUUGACAUAGCUACCUCCAACCCUUUUUAUCUGUUUCCCUUUUUCUCCCUCUCUCUUAUUAUUCAUUUAGAAUAUUAAACCGUGAUCCUGGUCUCCUCUUUCCUUGAGUUGGCAUCCUACACAAGAGACCACACACUCAUCCCCCUUUUUUUUACUACUUUCUUUACCUCUCUUAGCUUUUGUUUUCCUCUUCACUACUUUCCUUUUUUCUUUUUAUUAUGUAUAAUUAACAAUGGUGUGAAGAAUCCUCCGUUCAGGAAUUAAAAAGAAAUAAUUCCACUUUUUAAUCCCCCUCCCUUCUCAAAUAUAUGCUAAUGAUGUCGUUUUCCUUUAUCUUUUUAUAAUAAAGGAUUAGGCCAGGACUGUCUCUAGCUGCAACUCGGGGACCAAUUUAGCUGGGAUCCAGGAGAGACAAACCCUUGUGGUUAAUUACCAUUCAUUAACAUAGUUUGCAUCUUUUCGUCUUCUUCAAUACCCAAGAGCCAGCUAUUGUCAAUAUUUGUCCCAUAUAAAUUUCUGCGUUUUUUUCCCACAGUCACUGUCCUCCAGCGUAAUGCAGCUAAUGACAAACAUUAAUAACUCAGAGAAAUCCGGUGGCACAGUGGGUAUAGAAGAGCAAAGCAUCGGUGCCAGGCAAAUUAUCUGGGAGCCCCCGCCCCUUGGUGUCUGACUGUCUCUAUUUCUCGGUCUUCCUUUUAGCAUGUAAUGCAUAGUCAACAUGUUUGCUCGCCGUGCCCUGGCCUUGGCUGACACGCUCGUGCUAUUUCUGUGACAUAUUCAAAUGCGGGCCCCCUCAGCUGGUACUCCCUUGGGUUUAAUUAACCUGGCCUAGCCUCUGACGCGCCCUCAGUGAAGACGUUAAAUCUUGAAAACACCCGUCAAAGACCCCCCCCCAAAAAACACACACCCGUAUCUUCCACUAGGCGUUGUAUUCUAUUCAUCUCUUUAUUUUCUGUGUAGAAAUACCCUUCUUUUCUUCUCUUUCGCUCUAUCCUUGUCUUCCACCCUUCUUUUCUUGUACAGCUCUCAUUAAGAGAGGUUUCCUGUGGGAAUUACUUUGAUCAGUAGUUCCAAAUUCAAAGUUUUCCUCCCUUCCCCUUUUAUUCAUUCCAACGUAAUCAACUCUGUGUCAUUUUUUUCCCUCUGUCUGUAUCUCUUUCUCUCACCCGACUUCUUUUUAAAUCCAACUUUAUUGUAUUUUUUGGUUUCCACAGAUUCCUGCAGGAGAUUGUUCCUGGAGGGGUAGAGGAGGUCAGGGUCACGGGUUGACUUUGGGGUCGAUCGAUGAUUUGUGUAUAUGUGUGUCCCAAGGCUUGUCUGUUGUACUUUUAAGUUCCCUCGGUGUGGUGUGAGUGCUUGCCACUUGGGUGGGAAGGCGGGUAGCCCACAGUACAAAGAACAGUCGAAGCACAGACAGAAAAUUUCUGCAGCCUCCAACUGAUGCACAAUUAGUCCUUGCAGAUCUCGUCAACCAGCUGCGGAGUGAAUAGAACAGCCUCUGGUGAUUUUCCUUACUUCACUGACACAGUUUCACACCCCGACUGUUGCUGCCAAUACACCAGUCUGCUUUGAUUUCACAGCCACAGACACUUGGCACUGUCUUAAAUAACAAGGUACUUGUGACAUAGAGCCAAAUGUGUUUUUGACAAAUGUAUAAUGCAACAUGUUUACAGUUUUCAUUGUGUCUAUCCUUCAUGUUUGAUCCGCCGGGAGAAGGUUCAGAAACAAAAGAUGCUGUUUACAGAAUGUAUGACAGAAAUCAAACCAUGCUGUUUUAUUUACUCCUGAUAGUGGUGUGAAAUUGUAGUCUAAUGAUAUGAAUGG